rnacentral:rRNA from 2 species
GGACGAACGCUGGCGGCAUGCCUAAUACAUGCAAGUCGAACGAGCUUCCGUUGAAUGACGUGCUUGCACUGAUUUYAACAAUGAAGCGAGUGGCGAACUGGUGAGUAACACGUGGGAAAUCUGCCCAGAAGCAGGGGAUAACACUUGGAAACAGGUGCUAAUACCGUAUAACAACAAAAUCCGCAUGGAUUUUGUUUGAAAGGUGGCUUCGGCUAUCACUUCUGGAUGAUCCCGCGGCGUAUUAGUUAGUUGGUGAGGUAAAGGCCCACCAAGACGAUGAUACGUAGCCGACCUGAGAGGGUAAUCGGCCACAUUGGGACUGAGACACGGCCCAAACUCCUACGGGAGGCAGCAGUAGGGAAUCUUCCACAAUGGACGAAAGUCUGAUGGAGCAAUGCCGCGUGAGUGAAGAAGGGUUUCGGCUCGUAAAACUCUGUUGUUAAAGAAGAACACCUUUGAGAGUAACUGUUCAAGGGUUGACGGUAUUUAACCAGAAAGCCACGGCUAACUACGUGCCAGCAGCCGCGGUAAUACGUAGGUGGCAAGCGUUGUCCGGAUUUAUUGGGCGUAAAGCGAGCGCAGGCGGUUUUUUAAGUCUGAUGUGAAAGCCUUCGGCUUAACCGGAGAAGUGCAUCGGAAACUGGGAGACUUGAGUGCAGAAGAGGACAGUGGAACUCCAUGUGUAGCGGUGGAAUGCGUAGAUAUAUGGAAGAACACCAGUGGCGAAGGCGGCUGUCUAGUCUGUAACUGACGCUGAGGCUCGAAAGCAUGGGUAGCGAACA